GAUGAACGCUGGCGGCGUGCUUAACACAUGCAAGUCGAACGAUGAAGCCCAGCUUGCUGGGUGGAUUAGUGGCGAACGGGUGAGUAACACGUGAGCAACCUGCCCCUGACUCUGGGAUAAGCGCUGGAAACGGCGUCUAAUACUGGAUAUGUCCCGUCACCGCAUGGUGUGCGGGUGGAAAGAUUUGGCGGUUGGGGAUGGGCUCGCGGCCUAUCAGCUUGUUGGUGAGGUAAUGGCUCACCAAGGCGUCGACGGGUAGCCGGCCUGAGAGGGUGACCGGCCACACUGGGACUGAGACACGGCCCAGACUCCUACGGGAGGCAGCAGUGGGGAAUAUUGCACAAUGGGCGGAAGCCUGAUGCAGCAACGCCGCGUGAGGGAUGACGGCCUUCGGGUUGUAAACCUCUUUUAGCAGGGAAGAAGCGAGAGUGACGGUACCUGCAGAAGAAGCACCGGCUAACUACGUG
rnacentral:rRNA from 1 species